rnacentral:misc_RNA from 1 species
GAUGAAGAACGUAGCGAAAUGCGAUACUUGGUGUGAAUUGCAGAAUCCCGUGAACCAUCGAGUCUUUGAACGCAAGUUGCGCCUCAAGCCAUUAGGUUGAGGGCACGUCUGCCUGGGCGUCACAUAUCGUUGCCUGAUGCCAGUUUCCUCGUGAUGGGUGACUGUGCAGGGCGAAUGAUGGCUUCCCGUGAGCAUUGUUGCCUCAAGGUUGGUUGAAAAUUGAGUCCUUGGUAGGGAGCGCCGUGAUAGAUGGUGGUUGAGUGACGAACGAGACCCAAUCAUGUGAGACCCCUACCGAAUUUGGCCUUCAUGACCCACAUGCGUCUUUGGAACGCUCAUGACGAGACCUCAGGUCAGGCGGGGCUACCCGCUGAGUUUAAGCAUAUCAAUAAGCGGAGGA